AAUGAAACUGCUAUGUUUACAUUUCAGUGUUAAUCCAGCCUCUAGUGGCUGUCUUCAUGACAGCCGCUAGAGGCACUUCUGCGACGCAGGAUGCGAAAAUCACAUCCAGCGUGCUGAACGUCCAUAGGAAAGCAUUGAGAAAUGCUUUCCUAUGGACUGUUUGAAUGCGCGCGCAGCUCUUGCCACACAUGCGCAUUCAGCUCCACUCGGGAGCUGACGUAUGCGAGGGAGGAUAGGUCACCAGCGCAGAGGGCGCUGUAUUAAGGUAAGUGGCUGAAGGGGUUUUAUCCCCUUCAGCACCAAGUGAGGGGGCCCUGGGGGUGGGGGAUCCUAAGGGUUGUAUAGUGUCAGGAAAACUAAUUUGUUUUCCUGACACUAUAGUGAUCCCUUAAGUCUUUCCACGUCUGCAGGGGUUAAAAGCAAGAAUUUUCUCUCUUGGCUGCAAUCGGUACUCCCUUUUCUCUUUCUCAGGGCAAGCACAACCUCCCUUUUCUCUGUCUCACAGGCCAAGAUAACCUUUGCAUAGUUUAGAGAAGACGUGCUAAACAUACACAGUGGAUUUCCUGUAAUAAGAAAUGUUAGAUGAAUAAUUAUACUUUUUGCACUAAACAUCUAUGGUUGGUUGAUUUUGUCUUCUGUUGGAGAUACCCCUAUGUAAACUGUGUUUGUUUCAUAUAUACACUGUACCUGCAUUAAAAAUCUUUUUUAAAGAAAAGACACUUCUUUCUUAAACUUCAUAAUGACUGGUCUGCUUUAAUUGUACAUUAAUUGUUCGCUGCAGUGAACAUAAAAAAAGAUUAAGGAAAGCAGGGUGUGUUAACAGCAUAAGUCCAUGGCAGCUUAAAGG